GACGUAGGAUGCGAGCGUUGUCCGGAUUUAUUGGGCGUAAAGAGCUCGUAGGCGGUCUGUCGCGUCGGCUGUGAAAACCUGGGGCUUAACUCCGGGCCUGCAGCCGAUACGGGCAGACUAGAGUUCGGCAGGGGAGACUGGAAUUCCUGGUGUAGCGGUGAAAUGCGCAGAUAUCAGGAGGAACACCGGUGGCGAAGGCGGGUCUCUGGGCCGAUACUGACGCUGAGGAGCGAAAGCGUGGGUAGCGAACAGG
rnacentral:rRNA from 1 species